rnacentral:rRNA from 1 species
AUUGAACGCUGGCGGCAGGCUUAACACAUGCAAGUCGAGCGGAGAUGAGGUGCUUGCACCUUAUCUUAGCGGCGGACGGGUGAGUAAUGCAUCGGAACGUGCCCAGUCGUGGGGGAUAACGCAGCGAAAGCUGCGCUAAUACCGCAUACGAUCUAUGGAUGAAAGCGGGGGACCGUAAGGCCUCGCGCGAUUGGAGCGGCCGAUGUCAGAUUAGGUAGUUGGUGGGGUAAAGGCUCACCAAGCCGACGAUCUGUAGCUGGUCUGAGAGGACGACCAGCCACACUGGGACGGAGACACGGCCCAGGCUCCUACGGGAGGCAGCAGUGGGGAAUUUUGGACAAUGGGCGCAAGCCUGAUCCAGCAAUGCCGCGUGCAGGAAGAAGGCCUUCGGGUUGUAAACUGCUUUUGUACGGAACGAAAAGGCUCUGGUUAAUACCUGGGGCUCAUGACGGUACCGUAAGAAUAAGCACCGGCUAACUACGUGCCAGCCGCCGCCGUAAUAC